rnacentral:lncRNA from 1 species
GGUCCAAGGGCAAUGGAAAGCCCCUGAAGGGAUGUGAGAAGGGAAGAACCGGCACUAAAAUGACAGAGGUAGGAGACCAUUUUAGCUGCCGCAAGUAGACUCCUCAUAGAGGAGGUAGAGGGUAGAGUGUCACCCUGUGUGUGAUUGGAGCCAGGUUCGUGCUGUUCAACUUCACGUUCAUUGUGUCCCUAGGUGAAGGAUCAGCACCCAGUAUUCACAUUGAAGGGCUUGGGACGGAAGAGAGAAGACUUCUGUGCAGGUCAGCAGGAUGGUACCCAGAGCCCCGAGUUCAGUGGAAAGAUUCUGCCGAAGAGACUGUGUCAAAGAAAUCUGAACCAAUAAUGACUCAGGAUGCAGAUGGCCUCUAUCAAGUGGAAGCAGGUUUUAUACUCCGAAAAAACACCAAUAGGACAGUGACCUGUUCCAUCUUGAGCCCAGUACUGAGGCAGGAAAAAGAGACAAGUGUUCCCGUGGCAGAUUUCCCCCAGACUAAUUCCGGUGUAUGGGGUCUGGCUGUGAGUGGGACGGUGAAUGUGAUCUGUCUUCUCAUCAUCGCGGCUCUCCUCUGGAUCAUUUACAAGAGAAGAGUCAUGGAAAAUUACUAGACUCAGACCCAGCUCAUUCUCAACUGCAUGUCUCUAAGAAUUGCCAGUGGAUCAUCUCUGGCCACACAGAGGAGACUGCAUCUUCCUGGAUGCCUUUGAAGACUCUGAUGUUCUCUGGUCUUACUUCCCGUCUAGGCCCCAGGAUGGAGAGGAUGAUCCUCAUGACUGGCUGCCCUGAGCAAGUUCAUCAUGUCCAUUUCUUAAAAAAUACCACAAUUAUUAUUAUUAAGAGCUUACUAUGUGCCAGACACUGUUCUAAGCGUUAG